rnacentral:rRNA from 1 species
UACGUAGGGGGCAAGCGUUAUCCGGAUUUACUGGGUGUAAAGGGAGCGUAGACGGAAUUGCAAGUCAGAUGUGAAAACCACGGGCUCAACCUGUGGCCUGCAUUUGAAACUGUAGUUCUUGAGUACUGGAGAGGCAGACGGAAUUCCUAGUGUAGCGGUGAAAUGCGUAGAUAUUAGGAGGAACACCAGUGGCGAAGGCGGCCUGCUGGACAGAAACUGACGUUGAGGCUCGAAAGCGUGGGGAGCAAACAGG